GUGAGUCAUCGAAUCUUUGAACGCACAUUGCGCCCCUUGGUAUUCCAUGGGGCAUGCCUGUUCGAGCGUCAUUUGUACCUUCAAGCUCUGCUUGGUGUUGGGUGUUUGUCCCGCCUUUGUGCGUGGACUCGCCUUAAAGCAAUUGGCAGCCGACGUAUUGUUUCGGAGCGCAGCACAAAUUGCGCUUUGUAGCUAUUACGACAGCAUCCAUCAAGCCUUUUUUCACGCUUGACCUCGGAUCAGGUAGGGAUACCCGCUGAACUUAAGCAUAUCAAUAAGCGGAGGA
rnacentral:misc_RNA from 1 species